rnacentral:rRNA from 1 species
GGCGGGCUAAUACAGCAUGGGACCACAUGGUUUUGACCGAGUGGUGAAAGCGGGCCUCUGUUCACAAGCUCGCGCUCUGGGAUGGGUCUGCGUCCCAUCAGCUAGUUGGUGAGGUAAUGGCUCACCAAGGCAUCGACGGGUAGCUGGUCUGAGAGGAUGACCAGCCACACUGGAACUGAGACACGGUCCAGACUCCUACGGGAGGCAGCAGUGGGGAAUCUUGCGCAAUGGGCGAAAGCCUGACGCAGCGACGCCGCGUGGGUGAUGAAGGCCUUCGGGUUAGUAAAGCCCUGGUGGGGAGGAACGAACCGUACGGGGGCGAACACCCUCCGUACCUGACGGUACCUCCUUAGCAAGCAUCGGCUAACUCUGUG